ensembl:lncRNA
CCCUCUCAAUGACCCACAGACCAAUAUCUCCAGCUAGCUCAGAAGCAGCAUAUUCCCUCUCAGCUUCAGAUGAGGGAGCCUGGUCAAAGACAAUGAUGUCUGCAUGCCAGGACGCAACAUGAAAGCCUUCUGUGGUGCUAUUUAUUGUAGCAACAGGCCCUGGCAACAGUUAGAUGCCAUGGUGAUCAUGAAUAACCAAACUCCCAGAGAUGAGAUGAGGGUAUUUCUACUGCUUGGACUUGCAGCAGGGAGAAGCAGAUGGUCCUCAUUUCAUCAUGGGCUGCAAUACAUCUAACAGGGUUGCUGCAGCACAGCUGUCUUCUGAGGAGCUACAGAACAACCAUGAAGCCAGAAGCCAGACUCCAAGUGACAGUGCUGACAGAACAUGGGCUGCCACCUCACAGGAGGGGGCAGCUUGGACAAGGGGCACUUCAGAGAACGGAAGCAAACUUGAAGUUGAAGCCAGAGAGGGAGACUUUCCUGAGAGAUCAACAGAAGGAUUUGCACCUUCUGAAAAAAGCAGCAACGCACAAAGCACAGAUACACUGCUCACCAGUGGGUUCAUCAGUAAAUCAUGGCCCUUACAAGAAACAGAGAGACAAAAAUCAUCAGACAUUCUUGAGGAGCUGAGGAUGCAGGGAAUAAUCAGGAGCCAAAGUACUACUGCCAGCACUGAAGAAGCAUAUGAAAAACAAGGUGAGCAUCACUACACGAUAUGGGAUCUCUGCUACAGUGUUCUGACUCUUCUGUGAGCUCCAUGAGAGUCAACUUCUCUACGUGCACAGCAUCCAGACAAACCUUCUCUAUGAUUUUAGAGGCAAAAUGUUGAAUAUAAAACCGUAUAAUGAGGAUGCUAAUAAAACAGAAGCUAGCAGUAGUAUUCAUUCAGUUGUUCACAGCUUCCAGGCUUGUUUCAAAUGGGUACAGAAGAGAAAGGGGCAGUAUUAAGGGACUAGUUCUUUGAAAAACUCACUGGAGAAUACAUGCCAUAAACUUGUUUCUCCAGUCCACUAUGAGAAAACUAUGAGAAACAUCACUGUCAGGACUAAUAUUCACAUUCGCAUUUGAUCUCAGACUGAGAAACCAUUACAAGAUGUUAUGAGUUCUUUUUGUCUGGUUAUGUUGUUGUGUUGAUUUUUUUAAAUAAUUUUAUAGAACAGGUAUUAGAUUAAGAAACAAGUGUCCAUUUUCUUUUCAUUCUGAAUAAUAACCUAGGGCUUAUUUUGGCUUCUGAACUCAAGCUCAUUCUUUGUUGUUAAGCAUUGUGCUAAGGAUCAGUUGCUUUUUACAGAUAAGGCUUCAAGUACAGAUGAUGGGAGGGAGAAAAUCCAUAAGGAGAUUGUAAGAAGUUUAACACCAUUUGUGGCUGUAUCCAUAGCACAAUCCUACUAUUGCUUGGACACAGCUGAACACAAACAAUUCAAGCUCAGACCAAGGACGAUUCUGAGUAGCUUUGAAGUUUGAGGCAUGCCAUUUACUCAUCUCUAACCUUGACCACUUACAUUAAGGCUUCCUUCGGUACCUGAAUCCAUCACUUCUAUGCAUGGAAAGAAAAAAAAAAAGAAAAGCAGAAGGCAAGCAGCAAAAUGUCACUGCAACAUCAAAAUAGACUCUGCUGAAAGCUUUUAAUGUCUCUACAGAGAGAUGCCCUGGAAAAGAUGCUAAAGAAACCACCAGCUAGGCUGGAAAAAAUGUGGUUUGGAAGCAAGGAAGAGAAUGAUUUUACAGCAAAGGACAUGAAGACUGCUGAAGAGAAAAACAAACAGGUCAUCUGAUUUUGCUGUGUAUUCUUCAGCAUUUGCUUUACCGCAUGAAACCCUCUGCUUUUUACAAACUGACCUAAUGCAGACAGUUUGUGCGCGGGCUACUACCAAAAUGCGAUCAAUGGGAGCAAGUGGACUGUAUAUUCCUCUCAUAGAUUUUGAAAGGCCAAGUUAAUAGUUUAAUUCUACUGAAAGCCUGAAAGAUUAUCCUAAAAAUAUGCAGAGGAGGGAAAGCUUCUAAAACAGUUUUUCCUGCAAUAAAAAAUGCAUAUUCUAUGGACACGGGAGUAAAUUGGCUAAGUUUGGUGCCAACUGGAGUGAUGUUCUGAUCGCAUUUGGGUAGGAAGAUAGAAAGAAAUGCUGCACGUGAUCGAUGCAUCUUCUUCCUACUUCCAUCCCUCUUUACAAAGCACUGGGGUUUUUCCGUUUUGUUUUAGGUUAGGGAAAAGGAACUACGCAGGACACCACAACACACUGCAUCUUAUCCAGCAACGGACCACCAAACUACAGGUAAACAGACUGAAAAGGACUGCCCAAGUUUUCAAAGUCAAGAAAGCACAGGUGCCCCUCAGUCGUCACCUUUACAUGGUGAGAUAAGCGUACCGCUGCAGGAAAUAACUGCAGAAGAAACCACCAAUUAUUACACUGAGGACUUUACCAUUGAGUCUGAUAUAACUUACAACUGUAUCAAUGAAACAAUCUGGAUCUAAGCCAUCCUGCAAAGAAGGAGCCUCUCUGCUCCCUGCUGCUGUUUACCUCGGGGCUUAAGUAGAUGAUUUAUCCUGAGCUGAUGGUUGUGGUUACCUGUUACACCUUGGAAAACUCUAAUUUCACAUUUUUACACACUAGUUGGAGGAAACAAAAUAAAUAAGAAAAGCAAGAGGCAAUUUAGUGACCUGCCAGUCUCUAGGUUGGAGCACAUACAUAUGAACACGGUUUUAUUACAGUUACCUCUAGAAUUCCUUUUUUCUAGAGAGCAGAGAACCAGAGUUUGGAAAGGCAUUGUAACCAUACAGAAAGGCACAUAAGGAGGAGUAUGCAAGGAAGAAAAAAAGCUUGAACAGCUGCAAGAUUUGGGGUAGUAAAACACAGCGGAGACCUAAACAUAAGGACAAAGAGUUUUAACUUACUGUGCAGGCAGAGAUGUGAGAGCUUCAAACAUUAAGGGAACAACAGGCCACAGGAAUGUCAUUGUAUACAGAGCAAGGACAAAUACUGAAACUGCAGUGGAGAAAACAACUAAUUGGUUGAGAUAUGCAAAGCACAGGUGAGUUAUCCAUGUGGCCAGAAAUAACGUGAUUGGUCUCCAUGGGAAGGAGAGCACUGUUUCCAUAACACAGCAAUGAAUUUGGAAUGAACCCAUUCCCUACCUCCUAUACACACGCAACAUCUAAUACAUCCAGCUCCUUCAAAACCAGUGCGUAACAGCAAUGGUUGCACUUGUGCUUUGCCUGUUACCAGCCCUACUAUCCCCUUCUGGCUCAUCUCUAAAUAUGCCUAAUCCUUACUUCCAUACCACACUCACGCCCACCUCCUGUGCUGGCUUUUUUAAUUCCGUACCUCCAACUCCUGAUGACGCAUUCUUCCUUUCUGCCUUCCAAGCCAAGGAAAUUCUGUUCCAGUACUGGACCACUGCUCUCUUCGCCAGGUACUAUAGAAAAGAGAAAAAUGUAGCCUUUAUUUGUACAGUCUCGUUGUGGUUCUCCCUAUUACUCUCGGGAAAUUAAAUAAAUAAACAAAUAAUACUUGCACUAAAACAUCAAAGGUAGGAACAAGAUCUCAUCUCACUACUCAAGCAGCUGGGAUCCCACUUGAGCAGCUGAGUGAGUAAGCUCAUCAGGAAGAGACCAAUGCUUCAGGCCUGGCCAUGUUGGUUUUUAAGAAAAAAAAAAUGGGACACAGUAGCAAAUGGAAAAGCAAAACUGAAAAUUACCCUGUGUUGCCUGGAAAGAACUGUAAAAAUACCGAAGAAAAAGAGAAACAAACUUAGGAAAAAGAAGAACUUUGGUCAGCUGGCUUGAAGUCAUCCAACAGUCUGACAGACGGGAAGCAGGAGAUUGAGGAUGUGUUUUCACCAUGCAGUUAACCAAUGUUGUUCAUCGAAUUUUCUCUCAGAUUCUUUAAGCUAAGGCUGCCUAGCCAGACCUGGAAUAAAAACGUGUGUCUGUGUGUACAUAUAUCAGACUGUUCUACUGAGCUGAUUAGCCUCCUUUUUAAUGAAGGCAAAGAUACUGAAGCACUAGUAGUUGCCCGAAGCCUUCCUGUGGUUUCAGAAGGACGGGACAAACACCCAAUGUCCUUUCUUCCACUAUUUCCCAGGUGAGGAUUUUAUCUCCCUGGAGCACAAAAGGCCUCACGACACACAGAGAGAAGCACAGCAGCAGGCAAGGUGCCUUUCUGUACUGUGACCACCUGUGGGCUCCUGCACGGCUCAGCUGUGUCAGACACACUGCUCUCACUCGUCAACCGCACAGCCUGAGAAGAGCAACAGUAAACACGGCGUGUAUCCGACAACGGCGGGGCUCUUAGCAGGCACAGACACAAGUGAGGUGCACUGCGUCUGCUUUUAAAACACGACGCAGCCCCGUGCCGUUCCCUCGGGCCCUGUCGGUGUGACAGAGAGCAGAGCUCAGCGCUGCCCGCCCGCUCCCCGCGUAGAGCCGCCACGACGCCGCCCCUCAGCCUCCACACAACGAGCCGGCCGCAUCCAGCUCCACGCUCGGCCCUGAUUCUGC